rnacentral:rRNA from 1 species
AUACGGAGGGUGCAAGCGUUGUUCGGAAUCAUUGGGCGUAAAGCGCGUGUAGGCGGUUUCCUAAGUCUGGUGUGAAAGCCCGGGGCUCAACCCCGGAAGUGCAUCGGAUACUGGGUAACUAGAGGGCAGAAGAGGGAAGCGGAAUUCCUGGUGUAGGGGUGAAAUCCGUAGAUAUCAGGAGGAACACCGGUGGCGAAGGCGGCUUCCUGGUCUGCAUCUGACGCUGAGACGCGAAAGCGUGGGGAGCAAACAGA